GGAGAAGUGUCUGAGUGGUCUAAAGAGCUCGAUUGCUAAUCGAGUGUACGUUUUGUACCAAGGGUUCGAAUCCCUUCUUCUCCU
rnacentral:tRNA from 1 species